rnacentral:rRNA from 1 species
AGAUUGAACGCUGGCGGCAUGCCUUACACAUGCAAGUCGAACGGCAGCACGGGAGCAAUCCUGGUGGCGAGUGGCGAACGGGUGAGUAAUACAUCGGAACGUGCCCAGUUGUGGGGGAUAGCCCGGCGAAAGCCGGAUUAAUACCGCAUACGACCUACGGGUGAAAGCGGGGGAUCGCAAGACCUCGCGCUAUUGGAGCGGCCGAUGUCGGAUUAGCUUGUUGGUGGGGUAAAAGCCUACCAAGGCUACGAUCCGUAGCUGGUCUGAGAGGACGACCAGCCACACUGGGGCUGAGACACGGCCCAGACUCCUACGGGAGGCAGCAGUGGGGAAUUUGGACAAUGGGCGCAAGCCUGAUCCAGCCAUGCCGCGUGCCGGGAAGAAGGCCUUCGGGUUGUAAACCGCGUUUUCGUCUAGGAAGAACGGUACGUGGGACCAAGUAACCCCGGACUAACGUAGAACGGUACCGUGAAGAAUAAGACGACCGG